UACGAAGGGGGCUAGCGUUGCUCGGAUUGACUGGGCGUAAAGGGCGCGUAGGCGGUUCGUACAGUCGGACGUGAAAUUCCUGGGCUCAACCUGGGGGCUGCGUUUGAUACGUGCGGACUUGAGUGCGGAAGAGGGUCGUGGAAUUCCCAGUGUAGAGGUGAAAUUCGUAGAUAUUGGGAAGAACACCGGUGGCGAAGGCGGCGACCUGGUCCGAUACUGACGCUGAGGCGCGAAAGCGUGGGGAGCAAACAGG
rnacentral:rRNA from 1 species